rnacentral:lncRNA from 1 species
UCCACCUCUUGAAUUUUGCCAAAUUUAAUUUUAUAGGCAUUAGCUCCUUCUCUAAGGAACUCCUUUUUCAAAAAGACUAUUCUGCUGCUAACAAAUACUUUUUGCUCUUUAGUGAGAUAGAAGUAGUAUCUUUUAAGUUUUUUUGGGUACUCUAUGAACAAGUAUUUAUCGAAUUUUAGUCCAAGUUCAUCUGAUUUCAAAUGCUUGACAUAAGCUAGACACCUCCAGAUCCUAAGGUGUGAGAGCACC